CUUGUGGCCAUGGAGAAGAGGGAAGAAAAGGCAAGUUUUAUGAUUGUUGCAAGGAAUGGAAAAAGAACUCACAGGUAGAUUUGAUGCAGCUAUAUACAAGAAUGGCUUCUUCAUUUUAUAUCACACUAUCCACUUUCAUCUAUUCUUGAACCCAGGAAAAGAAAACUAUUAUAGUCAUUUCUGCAACAACUGCUAUAAAUUGAUUUGGACUGGACCCUGAUGAAGAUUUUUCUUUCAACAAUUUGGCACCCAGGAUGGGACUCUAAGUUAACCUCUCUAGUGGACUGAGACUGGCAGCAGACCCCUUGUGUCUGUGGAUGGGUUUCCGAAGCCCUGCCCAUUUGGAGCAAAGGUAGUAAAGGGAGUUUUGAGUUUGAGUUCAAGGGCUGCUUUGGAAAGAAACCCUGCACAGAUAACCCCCACAAUCUUUGCAAGCAAAGCACACUGACCCAGAUGCUGCUUCCAUCCAUUUGAGCCAGAGAAUUGGGUUUGAAUCCAGUCAUCCACUAGAAACCCACCAUGCAACCAGAGUGGAACAGAUAUUCCCAAGUCCUACCACCCCCCAGAUGUCUGUGAAAGCUACAGAGGAAGGAAGGAGUCCUGGAGCCAUUGGCCCUCACAUGAAACCUCAGAAGAAACCUGGAAAGACUAUGGGGGGAGGGCAUAAACUCAUUGUAAGGUUUUCUUUCUUGCCUCAUUUGUAUUGUAAUAAACCAUUUGAAUGUAUUCAUGGAGGGAUGGCAUUUGGGAAUGGUUGGCACAGCAAGUAUUGAACACCUUGGAUUUCUGUCUGGAAAAUUUGUCCAGAAUGCUUGUAUUGCCUGUUUUGUAGAAGUAGCUAUAUGCACACAUGCGUGCACACCAUUUAGAAUCACACUAAGGCUAUCCCCUUCACCUAUCUUCAGUAAAGCUCCUUAGCCUGGUUCUUGCCCUAUAGCACUGAAGCUUUGUAUGCACAACUUCCUGCAAAUUCCAAGGGGAGGGAAUCAGCCCCCUUCAGGCAAUUUGCAGUUCAUAUGCUCUCACUGAGGAGGUAGCAGGAAAGAGAUCUCCAAAACCCAAGCCCUGAAUAUGUUGCACUGGUAGACUCAGAAUGGGAGUCCUAGGGCUCACUGUGUGCAAUUUAAUAGCUUGGGUUGCACACUGGCUAACCUCAAUUGAACAUCACAAACCUGGAUGCACUGAACUAAGACCUAAGGCAGGCUCAGAAAGCAGCCCUUGAAAAUGGACAGUCAGUAGUUAUGUACUGAGGUUAUGGCUGUGAAGAAUUUUGGAGGAAUGUGCAAACCUGACUUGAAGCCUUGAAGUGGCAUCAAACAUCUAAAAUAAUUGGCACAGAAUAUUGGACACUAUAAUCCCCCCCACCUAACAGAAUUUUUGCCCUGACUUUUAGACCUUCAUGGUUGAAAAGCUCCCCUUUUGGGAGCCACUGCAGGGAUCUUUUUCUGCUGCCUCUAUUAGUGUCUUCCCUUUUUUUUGCAUUAACAUUUUAAAAGUUGGUUUAUCAAGUCUCCCUGACCAGAUCAAAUUUUAAUCUUGUGCCAGUAAAAGUCUGUCAUUCACACUCUUAUGGCACAAAGAGGGAUUGUGGGAAGAAUCCAGAGAAAGAAAUAUUUUGGGAAAUAUUAAAA